CCAGCAGCCGCGGUAAUUCCAGCUCCAAUAGCGUAUAUUAAAGUUGUUGCAGUUGAAACGCUCGUAGUUGGAUGUUUCUGCGCCCGGGGUGACCGCGGAUUUUCUUGCAAGCCUCGCUGCGAAGCGGGGUUCUGCGAGCCCGGUCCUGCCCUGUGGCGCACCUACCUUUUCCCGAUUGUUUUGCGCGUGCCAUUUGUUUGGGGCGCGUGGGGCGCGGGGCGAUUACUUUGAAAAAAUUAGAGUGUUCAAAGCAGGCAGUUUUGCUUGAAUAGAUUAGCAUGGAAUAAUGGAAUAGGACUUUGGUUUCUAUUUUGUUGGUUUUGGGGCCGAAGUAAUGAUUAAUAGGGAUAGUUGGGGGCAUUAGUAUUGCACUGUCAGAGGUGAAAUUCUUGGAUUUGUGCAAGACUAACGUGUGCGAAAGCGUUUGCCAAGGAUGUUUUCAUUAAUCAAGAACGAAAGU
rnacentral:rRNA from 1 species